GAAUGCCUGGCUGUAGCUGCGUGGCAGAGCACCUGCUUGGCAUGCAGAAGGUGUGGGUUCAACCCCCAAGGGCAUCUCCA